UAUGUUUCAUCAUCAGCGGCCUGCGCUAUC
rnacentral:sRNA from 1 species